AUCGACAUUUUGAACGCAUAUCGCAGUCCAUGCUGUUAUGUACUUUAAUUUUUAAUUAGAGUGCUGCUUGGACUACAUAUGGUUGAGGGUUGUAAGACUAUGCUAAAUAAGUUGCUUAAUAAAUUUAUAUAUUAUAUAAAUUUAAAGCACAUAUUGUAUUACUGGAUACUUUUUUAUAAAGCAUUCAUAAUACUAAUAGAUAAAGAUACAAAACCUCUAAAAUGAAUAAAAUCAGAGUAUUUAUAUAAUUCAUAGAAGUAUAUAAUUCUGUUUUUAUUGAGGAAGGUCUAGCAUAAAAUGAUUUUUAUGAACUAGAAUUGCCUCUUUAAUAAAUAGAAAUGAAAUAGAAAAAUGAUAAAGAAAUGAUUUUAUUCAGAGGUUUAUUGUAUUUAAGAAAUUUUUAAUAAAUGUUAUACAACCUCAACUCAUAUGGGAUUACCCCCUGAAUUUAA
rnacentral:rRNA from 1 species